GAUGAACGCUGGCGGCGUGCCUAACACAUGCAAGUCGAGCGGAGAAUUGUUGCUUGCGCCCAUUCUUAGCGGCGGACGGGCGAGUAACACGCGGGUAACCUGCCCUCCACAAAGGGAUAACAAUGAGAAAUCAUUGCUAAUACCGUCUAAGCUUACACUAUCGCAUGAUAGAGUAAGAAAAGAGUGAUCGGUUUAGGAGGGGUCCGGGUCUGUUUAGCCAGUUGGAGCGGUAACGGCUCAACAAGGCGGCGAGAAGGAGCAGACCUGAGAGGGUGAACGGCCAAAACGGGACUGGGACGCAGCCGAAACGCCUACGCGAGGAAGGAGGGAGGAAUAAUGGAGAAAGGACGAAUCACUGAUGAAGGAACGCCGAGUGAAGGAAGAAGGUUUUAGGAACGAAAAAAUCUAUCUACAAGGAAGAAAAAAAUGACGGUACCUGAGUAGAAAGCCCCGGCUAACUACGUG
rnacentral:rRNA from 1 species